CCCUUAGAUGUCCGGGGCCGCACGCGCGCUACAAUGGAUGAAUCAACGCGUCAUCCUGGCCCGAAAGGGUUGGGGAACCGCUGGACCUCAUCCGUGGUUGGGAUUGGGGUUUGUAAUUAUUCCCCAUGAACUAGGAAUUCCCAGUAAGCGCGAGUCAUAAGCUCGCGUUGAUUACGUCCCUGCCCUUUGUACACACCGCCCGUCGCUACUACCGAUUGGAUGGUUUAGUGAGAUCCUCGGAUUGGUCACGGCACGGUGGCAACACUGCGUCGGUGUGCCGAGAAGACGAUCAAACUUGAUCAUCUAGAGGAAGUAAAAGUCGUAACA
rnacentral:rRNA from 1 species